rnacentral:rRNA from 1 species
CUCCACGGGAGGCAGCAGUGGGGAAUAUUGGACAAUGGGGGCAACCCUGAUCCAGCCAUGCCGCGUGUGUGAAGAAGGCCCUUUGGUUGUAAAGCACUUUAAGCAGGGAGGAGAGGCUAAUGGUUAAUACCCAUUAGAUUAGACGUUACCUGCAGAAUAAGCACCGGCUAACUCUGUGCCAGCAGCCGCGGUAAUACAGAGGGUGCGAGCGUUAAUCGGAAUUACUGGGCGUAAAGCGAGUGUAGGUGGCUCAUUAAGUCACAUGUGAAAUCCCCGGGCUUAGCCUGGGAACUGCAUGUGAUACUGGUGGUGCUAGAAUAUGUGAGAGGGAAGUAGAAUUCCAGGUGUAGCGGUGAAAUGCGUAGAGAUCUGGAGGAAUACCGAUGGCGAAGGCAGCUUCCUGGCAUAAUAUUGACACUGAGAUUCGAAAGCGUGGGUAGCAAACAGGAUUAGAUACCCUGGUAGUCCACGCCGUAAACGAUGUCUACUAGCCGUUGGAGUCCUUGAGACUUUAGUGGCGCAGUUAACGCGAUAAGUAGACCGCCUGGGGAGUACGGCCGCAAGGUUAAAACUCAAAUGAAUUGACGGGGGCCCGCACAAGCGGUGGAGCAUGUGGUUUAAUUCGAUGCAACGCGAAGAACCUUACCUGGUCUUGACAUAGUGAGAAUCCUGCAGAGAUGCGGGAGUGCCUUCGGGAAUUCACAUACAGGUGCUGCAUGGCUGUCGUCAGCUCGUGUCGUGAGAUGUUGGGUUAAGUCCCGCAACGAGCGCAACCCUCGCCUUUAGUUACCAUCAUUCAGUUGGGGACUCUAAAGGAACCGCCGGUGAUAAGCCGGAGGAAGGUGGGGAUGACGUCAAGUCCUCAUGGCCCUUACGCGCUGGGCUACACACGUGCUACAAUGGCGGUGACAGUGGGCAGCAAACUCGCGAGAGUGCGCUAAUCUCCAAAAGCCGUCUCAGUUCGGAUUGUUCUCUGCAACUCGAGAGCAUGAAGGCGGAAUCGCUAGUAAUCGCGGAUCAGCAUGCCGCGGUGAAUACGUUCCCAGGCCUUGUACACACCGCCCGU